AGGGUUUGAUCCUGGCUCAGAAUGAACGUUGGCGGCGUGGAUUAGGCAUGCAAGUCGUGCGAGAAGUGUUUUUUGCUUGCAUUGAACACGGACAGCGGCGAAAGGGAGAGUAACGUGUGGUUACAUGCCCAGGGGUCCAGGAUAGCGUCGGGAAACUGGCGGUAAUACUGGAUGAUAUCUAAGGAUCAAAGGUGUGAUUCCGCCCUUGGAUUGGACCGCAUACUAUUAGCUUGUUGGUGAGGUAAUGGCUCACCAAGGCUGCGAUGGUUACCGGGUGUGAGAGCAUGGCCCGGCUCACUGGGACUGAGACACUGCCCAGACACCUACGGGUGGCUGCAGUCGAGAAUCUUCGGCAAUGGACGAAAGUCUGACCGAGCGACGCCGCGUGCGGGAUGAAGGCCCUCGGGUUGUAAACCGCUGUCAGUUUGGAGGAAAGGUCUGUGAAGAGCAGAUCUUGACCGAUAUUCAGAGGAAGGACGGGCUAAGUUCGUGCCAGCAGCCGCGGUAAGACGAACCGUCCAAACGUUAUUCGGUAUCACUGGGCUUAAAGCGUGCGUAGGCGGCUUGGUAGGUGUGAUGUGAAAGCCCACGGCUCAACCGUGGAAUUGCGUCGCAAACCCUCAAGCUUGAGGAAGACAGGGGUGUUGGGAACUUAUGGUGGAGCGGUGAAAUGCGUUGAUAUCAUAGGGAACACCGGUGGCGAAGGCGCAACACUGGGUCUUUUCUGACGCUGAGGCACGAAAGCUAGGGUAGCGAACGGGAUUAGAUACCCCGGUAGUCCUAGCCGUAAACGAUGAACACUGGGUUGAGGGGACUUCCACAUCCUCUCGGCCGUAGCGAAAGCGUUAAGUGUUCCGCCUGGGGAGUAUGGUCGCAAGGCUGA
rnacentral:rRNA from 1 species